GGCCUCCAAGUCUGCUAAUCUCUGACUAGCUGCCUAAUGUUCUCUGCCAGAGAGUUGACACCUUGAAGUCUUUUAGGAGAUGGAUGGGCAGUCAUCUGACUGCUCCUGAUUGACAGCUUUAGGGCGUCUGUUCUUGCUGAUUUUCAGGUACUGGAAGGUGGAGUUCAAUUGCUACUGGAUUAUCAGAGUGUCAGUGGGCUGCAAACAAGGCAGUAGUUGAGUACAGGAGGCUCAGAGAUUAAUAGAUGAAUAGAUCACUACUAGAUUUUAACAGACUAAACCCAUUUUUACGACAAAGAUCCAGGUUUAGAGCUGUUCACGGAUUGGAUGGUGCUAUUGGGGGUGGCCGUAGUCUGAGUCGUUAGACUGAGUUGCAGAUAAGAGCAGAAUUAUUAUAAAGAUCUGAGUUGCUGACAAGAGCAGAGUUAUCGGAAAUAUAUGAACAGCAGCAUGACCAUGUCAGGAAAAACACGAGGCUCUUUUGACUUGGUUACAGCUUGGGUGGCCAUGACCCCUCCACCUGGCACAUCAGCAGCCCUUCUGGAGACAGAGAUGAAUGGGAGCUCUGCCACUGUUUCUUCUUCUGCUACUCUGUUUCAGCAGGGGCCUCUGGCCUCAUUUGUGUUCCCUGGGGACCACAGCUAUGGCACCAGAGCCGAAGUUAUCCUGAGUUCACCUCAGCUGAUCUGUAGGCAGCAACUUUAAGGAAGACACGUGUAGAGUGGCAAGUGGAAGGCAGGGUACUGCUGAGUCUGAGCUCUCCGAAAGAGUAGCCAUAGAAGACCAAAUUGCAGAAAUGAACCCCCUGGACAAGGACACCACUCUCCUGGAAAAAGGGUCUCAAUGAGAAAACCAACACACAAACAAGAUACUCUCAAGUAUUGCUCCGAACUGGGAGCCGAGAAACACUUCAAGGACUGGGAAGCAGACUGCUAUAAAUUGGCAUCAGGGAAAGUAUAUAUGUAUGGCUGACACUGGACCUGACCUUGGAACAGGAAGGAGCCAGCGAGGCAAAGAUCUGGAGAGCCUGGGCAAAGGUUCCACAGGUGCAAAGGUCCUGAGACUGCAGUCCACACACCUUCCAGAGCUCCCGAUCAGUACAGUCGGAAUUGCAGGCGUUACUUCAUUAAGACAAAGGAAACCACUUUCAGUCUUCUGUGACUUUCUCACUGCCUCCAAAUCCUCCAAGCUACUAUGAUUUUUUUUUCUUUCAGGAAAUUCUUCAAGGUUUAGUAAUCAGUGGUUUAUAAAAAAAAAAACCUGGCCUGUGA
rnacentral:lncRNA from 1 species